rfam:TPA: Bos taurus chromosome 3, whole genome shotgun sequence.
UCCCUGGUGGUCCAGAGGCUAAGGCUCCCGCUUCCAAUGCAGGAGGCCCUGGUUUGAUCCUUGGUCAGGGAA